CCGUAGGUGAACCUGCGGAAGGAUCAUUGUCGAGACCGAAAGAAUAUCGAGCGAUUCUGAGAACCGGUGAAAAAUCGGCGGCGGCAGAUGCUGCGCGCAGCAGCCAUCCCAGGCGUCGUUGCCUCGAACCCCUUCGGGGACGGGGGCCGCGACGAAUGGCGGCUCAACUCAAACCGGCGCAGCUUCGCGCCAAGGGAUUACGAAACACGAGCCCGAUAUCGGGCUCGGUGGUGCGGCGUGCGGUCGCACGCCAGAUGGAUGUACAUGACUCUCGGCAAUGGAUAUCUCGGCUCUCGCAUCGAUGAAGAGCGCAGCGAAAUGCGAUACGUGGUGCGAAUUGCAGAAUCCCGCGAACCAUCGAGUCUUUGAACGCAAGUUGCGCCCGAGGCCAACCGGCCAAGGGCACGCCCGCCUGGGCGUCAACCGUUUGCGUCGCUCCACGCCGACUCGUACCCACCGAUGGGUGCGACGGGAUUGGCUUGGACGCGGAGAAUGGCUCGUCGUGCCCAUCGGCGCGACGGGUUGAAGUGCGGGUUAUUGUCUCGCGGGCCGCGAGCAGCAAGGGGAGGAUGAAAGCGGUGCCUAUGCUGUUGUAUCGUGCCGCCCGCGAGAAGAUUAUAUUUCGGAGUUGAUCCCAGCCCAAGCGUCGGCCCACCGGCGGCGGCUUGGAACGCGACCCCAGGAUGGGCGAGGCCACCCGCUGAGUUUAA
rnacentral:rRNA from 1 species